rnacentral:rRNA from 1 species
GAUGAACGCUGGCGGCGUGCCUAAUACAUGCAAGUCGAGCGAACGGACGCGAAGCUUGCUUCUCUUAUGUUAGCGGCGGACGGGUGAGUAACACGUGGAUAACCUACCUAUAAGACUUGGAUAACUUCGGGAAACCUUAGCUAAUACCGGAUAAUAUUUUGAACCUCAUGGUUCAAAAGUUAACGACGGUCUUGCUGUCACUUAUAGAUUUAUCCGCGCUGCAUUAGCUAGUUGGUCAGGUAACGGCUUACCAAGGCAACGAUGCAUAGCCGACCUGAGAGGGUGAUCGGCCACACGGGAACUGAGACACGGUCCAGACUCCUACGGGAGGCAGCAGUAGGGAAUCUUACGCAAUGGGCGAAAGCCUGACGGAGCAACGCCGCGUGAGUGAUGAAGGUCUUCGGAUCGUAAAACUCUGUUAUUAGGGAAGAACAUAUGUGUAAGUAACUGUGCACAUCUUGACGGUACCUAAUCAGAAAGCCACGGCUAACUACGUG